UAGGGUUCUCCAGAGAAACAGGACUAAUAGAAAGUAUAUGUAUAGAAAGAGAUUUAGUACAAGAAAUUGGCUUAUAGAGUCUAUGGAGGCUCACA